GACGAACGCUGGCGGCGUGCUUAACACAUGCAAGUCGAACGGAACUCUUUGGAUCGAGACUUCGGUCAAGUGAAUCUGAGUUUAGUGGCGGACGGGUGAGUAACGCGUGAGGAACCUGCCUUUCAGAGGGGGACAACAGUUGGAAACGACUGCUAAUACCGCAUAACGCCAGACUGAGACAUCUCUAACUGGCCAAAGAUUUAUCGGCAAAGGAUGGGCCUGCGUCUGAUUAGCUAGUUGGUGGGGUAACGGCCUACCAAGGCGACGAUCAGUAGCCGACCUGAGAGGGUGAUCGGCCACAUUGGAACUGAGACACGGUCCAAACUCCUACGGGAGGCAGCAGUGGGGAAUAUUGCACAAUGGCGAAAGCCUGAUGCAGCAACGCCGCGUGAAGGAAGAAGGUCUUCGGAUCGUAAACUUCUGUCCUUAGGGAAGAUAAUGACGGUACCUUUGGAGGUAAGCCCCGGCUAACUACGUG
rnacentral:rRNA from 1 species